rnacentral:rRNA from 1 species
CCUACGGGAGGCAGCAGUGAGGAAUAUUGGUCAAUGGUCGCGAGCCUGAACCAGCCAAGCAGCGUGAAGGAGGAAGGCCCUAAGGGUUGUAAACUUCUUUUAUAAAGGAAUAAAGGCAGGUACGUGUGCCUUUAUGUAUGUACUUUAUGAAUAAGGAUCGGCUAACUCCGUGCCAGCAGCCGCGGUAAUACGGAGGAUCCGAGCGUUAUCCGGAUUUAUUGGGUUUAAAGGGAGCGGAGAGGGGUUGGUAAGUCAGUUGUGAAAGCUUGGGGCUCAACCGUAGGAUUGCAGUUGAUACUGGCAGCCUUGAGUAGGAUAGAGGUAUGCGGAAUUCGCGGUGUAGCGGUGAAAUGCUUAGAUAUCGCGAAGAACUCCGAUUGCGAAGGCAGCAUGCUGGCCUGCCACUGACGUUGAGGCUCGAAAGUGUGGGUAUCAAACAGGAUUAGAUACCCCUGUAGUC